rnacentral:rRNA from 1 species
AAUGCCUAGGAAAUUGCCUUGAUGUGGGGGAUAACCAUUGGAAACGAUGGCUAAUACCGCAUAAUGCCUACGGGCCAAAGAGGGGGACCUUCGGGCCUCUCGCGUUAAGAUAUGCCUAGGUGGGAUUAGCUAGUUGGUGAGGUAAUGGCUCACCAAGGCGACGAUCCCUAGCUGGUCUGAGAGGGUGAUCAGCCACACUGGGACUGAGACACGGCCCAGACUCCUACGGGAGGCAGCAGUGGGGAAUAUUGCACAAUGGGGGAAACCCUGAUGCAGCCAUGCCGCGUGUGUGAAGAAGGCUUUCGGGUUGUAAAGCACUUUCAGUUGUGAGGAAAAGUUAGUCGUUAAUACCGGCUAGCCUUGACGUUAGCAACAGAAGAAGCACCGGCUAACUCAGUGCCAGCAGCCGCGGUAAUACUGAGGGUGCAAGCGUUAAUCGGAAUUACUGGGCGUAAAGCGCGCGUAGGCGGCUCAUUAAGCCAGAUGUGAAAGCCCCGGGCUCAACCUGGGAACUGCAUUUGGAACUGAUUCGCUAGAGUACAGUAGAGGGUGGUGGAAUUUCCAGUGUAGCGGUGAAAUGCGUAGAGAUUGGAAGGAACAUCAGUG